AAGUUAGGAUUAGGGUUAAGGUUAGGAGAUUCAGAAGUGUGAUAAUGUUCUGUAAUGUUCUGUUCGAUGUACAGAGCUGACAGCCCGCAUUAGGCUUGAGCGUGUGAUGACGUUUCUAGCUUUUCUAGCCAAUCAGAGGCAAAGGAGGCGGGACUUUCCCCUACCAUCCUACCAAAAAAAUAUUGUGUCCUGGACAGCUCCUAUUGGUCAAUCUCCUGCGUCACCUCUCCAUCCAAUCACCUCGCUGUAUCCGACACACCCCUCUCCCAUAAUUCCGACUCGUCCCCUCCCACUCUCCCGGCUCUCCUUGGAGCUCUGAGCGGCUAAAAGUAGCGUAGCACUUUAGCUACAAGAGUUGUGAUGGAGAAGGAUGGAAAAAAAACACUUCUGCUCGCCCAAUCGCCAAAAGUGGGAAGAAAACGCAAGCCGACAGAAGAAAGGGCGGAGACAAAGAGGAAAUGUGACCAAGCGAGGAAUCUAACUCAAAUAAAUAUUGGGUCAUCCUUCGAGUGGUGGAGAAAGCUCCGCCAGGAUUUGGUCCUGAAAACAGACAGCAGAGUUUUUAUAGAACAGGUAAUUUUUAUCGCUUUCUAUCGUCGCACGUGUUACAUAAAUAACUCCUAUUAGUCUCUACAGUGUCAACACGGUAGCUGUCCAGGCAGCUGCAGACGCUGCUCGCUAGCAGAGCUGGCGUUUACUGCUGCUAGUCACUUGAAAUCCGACAUGGUGAAUCCUAUUUGAAGCUAGCUAAGGAUCUUCUGCCGGCCGGCUUCUUGCUCUGCCAGAGGGGGUGUGUCGUGGGGAGGAUGAUACAGGUUCGGGGGGCUGUUAUCAUGGAGAACAGAGGGGAGAGGUUUGUGUGUGGGGGGUGGGACGCUUUUUUCAAAUCUGCCUCAACUGCUCAGUUUUUUUCUACUGCUUCUCAGAUCGUCAACCAGGCCUUUAAAUAAAAGUUUACUGAUUUUAAGCAGUUCAUAAAUUGCUGUAUGUAGGAACAACACUUCUGAAUUUACUGUGAUUUCUGCUCUCUUUCUCGUCUUCUUCCACUCACUCCUGCCGACUCUUUGACUGUAAGCACACUUUUCAUAUUUUCUACUCUCCCGUCUGUCGUCCUGCGGUGUGUUUUCUGUAUAGUUUCCCACUGAGGGGCAGAUUGCAGGUCUACGGGGUUGAGUGAUGUCCCGCUGCUGUUGCUGCUCUACAUCUGGAUCAUCUAAAAAGCAGCAGUUUUCUGACUCUGGGACUCGGCAGGAUUCGAACAUCAUAAACAGAAAAGAAACGGCGAUGAUUUCUGCUCAAACACUCGGAAACAAAGUGAAAUAAAUCAGUGUUUUCUCGCUGCAUAUCUGCGGGGAAAGCUCUCUGUAGUUGUUCAGACUGUGGAAUUUUUUUGUUAAGAUUUUCCAACGACAAGAGAGUCAAUAAAUCGAAGUUAAACAGAUGAAAAGGAUUUGUUUAACCUAAAGAAACACGCUCUUUCAAAAACGAGGAGAACUUUAAAUGAGUCCGACACGAAUUCAGAGAAAUGAAGAAAAACAGAGCGAUUAGAAACUGCUCAGAUUCUCACAGAGACAUUAAGAGGAGGAGAGAUUGAAUGUUCACCUGCAGGAUAAAGAAAAGCAGAAAAAAAAUAAAACAGAGGCUGGAGAGCAUCAGAUCAGUCUCCAUUUCCAAAUUAAACUCUUGGCUGUCAGAUAUGAAGCUGCAGCUCUGCAGGACUCUGUCUUUAAUCUGAUUCAGUUUCAGAUAUUUUUGACUCCCUCCUUCAGGUCAGGGUUUGAAUCUGGUCUGCAGCUUCUUUUUUCUCUCUAAUCUGAACAUAAAUCAGGAUUUUUCAUGUCUCAUUUCUGCCGAAGAGUCCGAUCAGAUCUAAAAACAGUGACGGUCUCAGAUUUGGGGGAACAGGCCUCGAUUACAUGGAUCGUUGUAUUUUAUUAGCAGGCAGAGCUCCUCUGUAGUUUUCAUACUUUUGUUUUAUGUUUAAAUUUUACAACCAGACUCUCCUGCUCUGCCACCUUCAUCUUUGAUUCAUUUUAUCAUCAAACUCGGUGUCUGCGUCUCUGCGGAUGAGACAUUAACAAUAAAAGAUGCGCUCAGAGAGGACUGUGUGGAUUUAAAGACGGGUUUAUUAUGUUUCUGUGUCGAUUUGUUGGUUCUUGAUGUCCUGGUUAAAUUUUCAAUGGACUCUAUUAAACUAGAUAUAUAGACCAGAUCCAAACUGAGACCUCAUGAGAAAGUAGAGGACGGUUUUAGGUCAGAAAGUCCCUGAGAGGAGAAAUGAAAUCUAGACCUCCAUCAUCAGGACCCCCAGGAGGGUCUGCAGCACGACUCUGAGACCGAGUUGUAAUCCUUCCCCUCUUCCUAUCCUUCCUCCUCCUCCUCCUCCUCUCAGUCCUGGUUCUCCUCAGUCUGAGUGGAUUUGAUCUGUGCAGGUCUGAACUGGAUCAGACUGAAUUAUCAGAGACAGACAGACGCUGUGUGUGUGUCUUUGUGUGUCUUUGUGUGUGUGUGUGUGUGUGUGUGUGUUUGUGUGUGUGUGUGUGUGUUACAGGGACAGCAGACUGUGCUCCUGCUGACUCUCAUCUCUGUGUUGUCUAUUUUUAUGUGAACUUCCCGUUAAUAUUUCCCUUCCUGUUGGAGUAAAAACUUUUUUCUGUUUUUCUGGGUCCUGUCAGUGAAGAGCAGAGGUUUGUUUCUCACGCCGGAGUGGUGAGUUUAUCCAAAACUUCAAAAAAUGAGAAUAAUCAGCGCUGUGCUGCGGAAACGGAGAGCUCUGGAUUAAAGAGGAAAUCCAGAUUAAACCCUCAAAGAGUCUGAAAAUAAACUGGAUCAAAGUUUGAAGCUAAACCGGUUUAAAGAUCAGAUCAGUUUCACAGAAUAAACUCAUUUAUUCUGAUCCUGCAGAUUAAUUAUGAGAAAAAAAUCACCCGAGUGAUCACGUGAGGAGAGGAUUUACUCUGAAACUGAUUUAUUUUAGUUUAUAAACUCAAUUUAGACCAACAAGAUACUUCAUAUAAGGUCAUUUUUAUCACGCCAGAUUUUUUACACACAAGAUUUGAUCAAAGGAUCGAGAUUCUUGAUGUGAGCACCUGCAGGAUCUUUGAUUAAUGCAGGUAAAC
rnacentral:lncRNA from 1 species